CCUACGGGUGGCAGCAGUGGGGAAUAUUGCACAAUGGGGGAAACCCUGAUGCAGCGAAGCCGCGUGAGCGAUGAAGUAUUUCGGUAUGUAAAGCUCUAUCAGCCGGGAAGAAGAUGACGGUACCUGACUAAGAAGCCCCGGCUAACUACGUGCAAGCCGCCGCGGUACUACGUAGGGGGCAAGCGUUAUCCGGAUUUACUGGGUGUAAAGGGAGCGUAGACGGCGAUGCAAGCCAGAUGUGAAAGCCCGGGGCUCAACCCCGGGACUGCAUUUGGAACUGUGUGGCUGGAGUGUCGGAGAGGCAGGCGGAAUGCGUAGUGUAGCGGUGAAAUGCGUAGAUAUUAGGAGGAACACCGGUGGCGAAGGCGGCCUGCUGGACGAUGACUGACGUUGAGGCUCGAAAGCGUGGGUAGCAAACAGGAUUAGAUACCCCUGUAGUC
rnacentral:rRNA from 1 species